CCCGGCCCGAUCCACUCCCACCCACCACACUCUGCCUCUCUUAUCCCUAAAAAAACUCUCUCGCCAGUCCACCCCACCCCGACUCCUCUCCCCACGAUCUCCUUGCCGCCGCCACCACCCUCCAGCUCCCAGCAACUAGUUUCACUUCCAACCCCUCAACCAACCAUCCUCUCGAUCGUAGCUCUCCGCGGCGGCGAUGGCGGUGGAUCUGACCCCGAGGCAGCCGGCCAAGGCGUACGGCGGCGAGGGCGGUGCCUACUACGAGUGGAGCCCGGCCGAGCUGCCCAUGCUCGGCGUCGCCUCCAUCGGCGCCGCCAAGCUCGCGCUCGCCGCCGGCGGCAUGUCGCUCCCCAGCUACUUCGAAUCGGCCAAGGUCGCAUACGUCCUCCAGCGUGUCCCUAAAACAAAUGGAGAAAUUCCUUCUUUUGAUGAAGCCUUUUCAGAUCAUCGAAGACUUCUCGACAAGUUGGUGUUGUAUGGCCUGGUUGAGCUCACGGUUAACGGAGACGACAAUUGUCAGUUUUGGGCAUUGUCUGAUCAAUUUUACCGAACUCCUGAACACCGUAGAUUUGUGCGACAACAGGUGGUCAAUCAGGGUUUUGGUGGCGAUGCCGACGGUCGUCGAGAGGUUCAUGGACUGGGCGGUGUUGUGGAUGCCGAUGUACGGAGAGGCGAAGCUGCUGCUUGCCAUCUACCUCUGGCACCCCAGCACACGGGGUGCGGGGCACGUGUACGAUGGCUUCCUCCGUCCGCUGGUGGCGUGGCACGAGGACGACAUCGACCGGGGCCUGCUUGACCUAAGGGCUAGGGCGAGGGACGUGACGGCGUCACAACUCAAGGCGGCGACUGCCAUCGGUCAAGUGUGGCUCAUCGAGGCUGCUCGCUGUGUUUCGUCGCAGCUGCAGGCCGCGAGAUCAGGUCGGGAAGGCGCCGCGCAUUGACGAGUGAGCCAAUUUUCGGAUUGGACCAUAACAACGUGUUUCGGUCUCCGACGUCUAGAAGUAGUGGUAAAGUUUUGAAUUUGCAUGGCAAGAACCACUUACGUAGGUAGCUGACACGCACGACAGUGUGUUUACACUCUUACUUAUGUAAAAGAUAUGAAUUAUACAUGAGUUGCCUCCACAAUGAGGAAUUGCGAUAGUAGAUAUGGCAAUUAUGUGAUAGAACGGG
rnacentral:rRNA from 1 species